UGAUAGCACAGCUCAGGAAAGCUGUAGGAAGCUGACAAUGGUUCCCUUCAUUGUAAUGAAGCUCUGACAGACCUGGGAGCUACUUCCAAAUCAAAUGUGUUUUGCCAACAUUUGCCUAUAUUGCACCUGCCUAAAGCUGGACUCAUCUUGAUGUAUGAAGCCGUAUGAAACUCUAAUUGUCUGGAAGGAGGACAGAGUGGUAUUAACACACAGGACAACUCGGGUAAGAAGAGGGGUAUGGAACUUGCAGGGUAUGGAACUUGCAGAACACCAGCUCAACAAAACCAUCUCCAAAGCUUAGAGGACAGCACACUAGGGGAGAUCUAUCAGACACCACACUCAAGCUGCCAUGGAUAAAUGUCAAAUGGAUAAGGUUGGUCACAGACAGUAAAAAUGCAUGGAAGGUAAUUCAAUCAGUUUGUGGAGAGAAAGAACAAAGCUUCCCACCAGAGCUGUUAUUCACUUAACCUACAUGCAAGUGCUCUUUGAUCCUGUUCUUAUUAUCUGCAUGGCUUUGACGACAUCAGUGGGCUUAUGCCCACCUGGUUUUGUCUUUUAUGAACACGUAAGAUGUAGAAGACAUUUUUACGGAGUAUAAUUAAUGUCAUCCAUGCCAGAAAGUGUAGUGCCAUAAUUACUGUA